UACGGGGGGAGCAAGCGUUGUUCGGAUUUACUGGGCGUAAAGGGCGCGUAGGCGGUCGUGACAAGUCACUUGUGAAAUCUCCGGGCUUAACUCGGAACGGUCAAGUGAUACUGUCGGACUAGAGUACAGAAGGGGCAACUGGAAUCCUCGGUGUAGCGGUGAAAUGCGUAGAUAUCGAGAGGAACACCGGUGGCGAAGGCGGGAUCCUGGGCCAGUACUGACGCUGAGGAGCGAAAAGCGUGGGGAGCAAACA
rnacentral:rRNA from 1 species